rnacentral:rRNA from 1 species
GUUGAACGCUGGCGGUGCGUUUAAUACAUGCAAGUCGAACGAGAUCUUUGAAGAGUUUACUUUUUAAAGUGACAGUGGCGGACGAGCGAGUAACACGUAAGUAGCUGCCUUGUACUCAGGGAUAACUAGUCGAAAGAUUAGCUAAUACCGGAUGGUCCCGAAAGGGUAAAGAUUUAUCGGUACAAGAGGUGCUUGCGGCCUAUCAGCUUGUUGGUAAGGUAAUGGCUUACCAAGGCAAUGACGGGUACCUGGUGUGAGAGCAUGACCAGGCGCGAUGGGACUGAGACACGGCCCAU